ensembl:lncRNA
CGAAACAGGAGGCAAAGGCUCCAUGGAGGUCUAUCCUGAUUCUCCAGAGAGCAAGGUGGAAUGGAGGACCUGCAGAAGUAUCUUUUUUGCAUAACGUGCCCUAGGAGAGGGGCUUCCCAGGUGGAGCUAAUGGUCUAUCCUCAGCCUGGCAGCUGGUGGAGAGAAGAUGGCAUCUCAAUUGUGGACUUGGACGACUCAAUUCUUCAGGGGCCCAAAGUACACACCAGAUGCCACGUUUCCACGGCCUUUAGCAGCGUGAGAACUGUUAUUCUUUCAGAGGUCCUGGUAAGGAACAUAGAACUAAUAAGCCACCAGCAACCGGAAGAGUUCAGGAAAGGUCAAAAGGAGACACUAUGUGUCUGACUACCUCCCUGAAUCCUUCUCACUGGCAUCCAUCUUGGCUGAGUGAUGCAUGUGCCACCAGGAAGGACUCUGAUUCAGAAUGAUUGGCUAAAGACAACCUGGAAACUAAUGCCAUCAACAUAAAACCCAAGAUUGCGAGCCACAUGGCAAAGCAGUCCUCCUGGGCUUCCUUACCCCACUGCUUUCUGCCCGGGCGCCCCUUCCC